AGCACCAAGCUAGCAGCACCAGGCUAGUAGCACCAGGCUAGCAGCACCAGGCUAGCAGCACCAGGCUAGCCCAUGGCAGAGGGAACAGCAACAUCAACUCAGUGCUGCCAGCCUCGGGUCACACUUUUCCUGCUACACGUUUUGGAGAUGAGGAUUUAUUUUAGUGUUAUGACUGCAACACAAGAUUGUGGAGCUGCGGUUUGUCAGAGAUCAGCUGUGCUGCUCUGGUCUCAGCUCUGAAGUCCAACCCCUCCCACCUGAAAGAGCUGGACCUGAGGGGCAACAAGAACCUGAAGGAGUCAGACGUGAAGCAGCUGUGUGAUCUGAAGGAGAGUCCAGACUGUAGACUGGAGACUCUGGAGUAAGUAGAGGGUUGGAUUCAGUCCAUGCUGGUUUCAGCAGUAUCAAACUAAACCCAGUUAGUAUCAAAGCUAAGAUCCAGUAUUUUCUGUAAACCUCCAACCUCGUCAGUGAAGCUGUGAGAGGAGAGAGAGAACAGUCAGCCAAUCAGAGACUGUUCUCUCUGAACCCAACAGCAGUAAAUCAUCAUUAAAGUGAGCAGUGAACGUCUCUCUGUUUCUGCAGUAAUGAUGCGUUCAGGACUCUUAGCAGUUUAUUUCCACUGUGUACUUCAGUGAAAUCUGCAGAGUCAACAGACUUGAUGGCCAAAGUCUCUGCAGGUCUGUGAGCUUCACUCCAACACGUUAACAUGAGAGCUGAAAGGAAGCAGGCUGCUCUACACAGCCGCUCCACUUGGUGUCUGAACAGGACUGAAGUCUCUGCUGCUCUUUAUACUGGAUGCUGUUAACUUGUUCAACAUCAACACUGUUCUAAUGUUUGCAACUUACCCAAUUACCCUAGUGGGGAUUGUUUUGUGUAUCUUACACAUAAAAUAACAAUAACAACA